AUUGUGCAUUAUGCUAGAGUAGACUGGAUUUUAGUGGUUUGUGUUGAUGGAUAGUGCAUAUGAAGCGGGAAGGUUAGGACAAUCCUCAUUCAUCCCAAAAAAAAUUAGCUCAAUAAUACAACGUACUCUUAUUGAAGUACUAUUUAAGGCUGUUUGAUAUGGAUUGGUAUAACAUGCUAUAUGACGAAUCUUGCACAUUAUUUGACCUUAUAGAAGGCGGUUACUUUUGCAUUAAGACACUAAUUACAACAUUUGUGUUUCCGUGACUUACUUUCUUCAAGCUAUUAUAUUCAUCCAGGACUGUAGUAAAAGUAAACAAACCAAAAAACUUAUUAAUUGCCAGUAACAAAAAUCAUUAAUAUCAAAAAUCUAUAAGUUGCAAUGAUACUAUAAUGAAAAAUGUCUUCAUUAAACGAAAGAAAAAUAAAAGACGUUCGGGACAUAUGGAACGCCAGUCUAGGAGAUUCCGACAAAGAAAAUCCAAAAAUACCAAUCGAAAGCAACAUAGACAAUAGAACAAAACAUAAAUACAAAACACUAGAAAGACAUUUGAGUAUGAAAAAAACAAUAAGAAGAAAAAUGAUGCGAGAUCUCAGAGAAAUAGGCGAUGCUCAAGCUGAAGAUAAUACUCAAAGCGAGACUGGAUUUUUAGAACAAAUUAGAAAUGAUCAACCCCCUCCUGCUAAUGUAGAUAAACCCAGUUUAUGGAAAAGACUGACCAAAGGAUGGGGGCAUUAGGAUUUAGAUGUAUUAAAUAUGUUAAGAAGAAAAAGAUGACUGUUUUAUUGAUUUUGAAAAAAAUUUACAUCACUGAGUUUUUUAAAUUCGUAUUUAUGAAAUAAUAAUUGUCUAUGAAAACAUUUUAAACCAGUAAUUUAUCUGCAUCAACUUUGUUUUCAAAUGUGUGGAUGUAAAAAAGUCUGAACUAAAUAAAUAAACAAAA